GUUAAGACACCGCCUUUUCACGGCGGUAACACGGGUUCGAAUCCCGUACGGACUA
rnacentral:tRNA from 2 species